UACGGGGGGAGCAAGCGUUGUUCGGAUUUACUGGGCGUAAAGGGCGCGUAGGCGGCCACUGCAAGUCGGUUGUGAAAUCUCCGGGCUUAACCCGGAAAGGUCAACCGAUACUGCAGGGCUAGAGUGCAGAAGGGGCAACUGGAAUUCUCGGUGUAGCGGUGAAAUGCGUAGAUAUCGAGAGGACCACCUGCGGCGAAGGCGGGUUGCUGGGCUGACACUGACGCUGAUGCGCGAAAGCUAGGGGAGCGAACGGG
rnacentral:rRNA from 1 species